rnacentral:rRNA from 1 species
GACGUAGGGCGCAAGCGUUGUCCGGAUUUAUUGGGCGUAAAGAGCUCGUAGGCGGCUUGUUGCGUCGUCCGUGAAAACCCGCGGCUCAACUGCGGGCUUGCGGACGAUACGGGCAGGCUGGAGUUCGGUAGGGGAGACUGGAAUUCCUGGUGCAGCGGUGAAAUGCGUAGAGAUGCGGAGGAACACCGAUGGCGAAGGCAGCCCCCUGGGUCGACACUGACGCUCAGGCACGAAAGCGUGGGGAGCAAACAGG